rnacentral:rRNA from 1 species
AGAGUUUGAUCAUGGCUCAGGAUGAACGCUAGCGGGAGGCCUAACACAUGCAAGCCGAGCGGUAUUGUUUCUUCGGAAAUGAGAGAGCGGCGUACGGGUGCGGAACACGUGUGUAACCUGCCUUUAUCUGGGGGAUAGCCUUUCGAAAGGAAGAUUAAUACUCCAUAAUAUAUUGAACGGCAUCGUUUAAUAUUGAAAGCUCCGGCGGAUAGAGAUGGGCACGCGCAAGAUUAGCUAGUUGGUGAGGUGACGGCUCACCAAGGCGAUGAUCUUUAGGGGGCCUGAGAGGGUGAUCCCCCACACUGGUACUGAGACACGGACCAGACUCCUACGGGAGGCAGCAGUGAGGAAUAUUGGUCAAUGGGUGCAAGCCUGAACCAGCCAUCCCGCGUGAAGGACGACUGCCCUAUGGGUUGUAAACUUCUUUUGUAUAGGGAUAAACCUACCCUCGUGAGGGUAGCUGAAGGUACUAUACGAAUAAGCACCGGCUAACUCCGUG